CGAACCGUGAAAGCGUGGC
rnacentral:snRNA from 1 species